AUGAACGCUGGCGGUGUGCCUAAUACAUGCAAGUCGUGCGGAAAGGCUCUUCGGAGUACUCGAGCGGCGGACGGCUGAGUAACGCGUGGGAACGUGCCCCAAAGUGAGGGAUAAGCACCGGAAACGGUGUCUAAUACCGCAUAUGGUCUUCGGAUUAAAGUAUUUAUACGCUUUGGGAGCGGCCUGCGUACGAUUAGAUAGUUGGUGAGGUAAAGGCUCACCAAGUCUACGAUCGUUAACUGGUCUGAGAGGAUGAUCAGUCAGACUGGAACUGAGACACGGUCCAGACUCCUACGGGAGGCAGCAGUAAGGAAUCUUCCACAAUGGGGGCAACCCUGAUGGAGCAACACCGCGUGCAGGAUGAAGGCCUUCGGGUCGUAAACUGCUUUUAUAAGUGAGGAAUAUGACGGUAACUUAUGAAUAAGGGUCGGCUAACUACGU
rnacentral:rRNA from 1 species